rnacentral:rRNA from 1 species
GACGAACGCUGGCGGCGUGCCUAAUACAUGCAAGUCGAGCGAAUGGAUUAAGAGCUUGCUCUUAUGAAGUUAGCGGCGGACGGGUGAGUAACACGUGAGUAACCUGCCCAUAAGACUGGGAUAACUCCGGGAAACCGGGGCUAAUACCGGAUAACAUUUUGAACCGCAUGGUUCGAAAUUGAAUGGCGGCUUCGGCUGUCACUUAUGGAUGGACCCGCGUCGCAUUAGCUAGUUGGUGAGGUAACGGCUCACCAAGGCAACGAUGCGUAGCCGACCUGAGAGGGUGAUCGGCCACGCUGGGACUGAGACACGGCCCAGACUCCUACGGGAGGCAGCAGUAGGGAACCUUCCGCAAUGGACGAAAGUCUGACGGAGCAACGCCGCGUGAGUGAUGAAGGCUUUCGGGUCGUAAAACUCUGUUGUUAGGGAAGAACAAGUGCUAGUUGAAUAAGCUGGCACCUUGACGGUACCUAACCAGAAAGCCACGGCUAACUACGUGCCAGCAGCCGCGGUAA